rnacentral:lncRNA from 1 species
UUCGCUGAUUGGAAUUGUUGCUCAUUGUACGUGGUGGUGCAUGAGUCGUAUCACGAUCGUUUGGGUAGGCAGGCUCCGUGCUCGCGCAUCGAAUUGCUUCCCCGCGAUCCUUUCAGUCCUAGCCCAAGUGAAUGUUUUGUAAGUGGGCAAAUGUCGGGUUCCUGUGUUGCAUACCCACACUAGUGGAAUUCAAUGAUGUUGCUGUCCCAUAUUUCGCCUUUGUGCCUCCUUUGGGGCAUCGGGUGAACAUUGUAGCGGUACCUGUGUUCCAAACAUGCUGUUUCGGCUGUUGUGGCCCAUGGACUGUCGCUCGUGCUAUCGGAUGCGGAAUGCUAUGCGGGCGGGAGGGCGGAAAUCAUCCUCCAUUAGCCCAUUGUUUCCUAAAUAUGAACGACAGACGC